GAUGAACGCUGGCGGCGUGCCUAACACAUGCAAGUCGAACGAAGCACCUUACCUGAUUCUUCGGAUGAAAGUUUGGUGACUGAGUGGCGGACGGGUGAGUAACGCGUGGGUAACCUGCCCUGUACAGGGGGAUAACAGCUGGAAACGGCUGCUAAUACCGCAUAAGCGCACGAGGAGACAUCUCCUUGUGUGAAAAACUCCGGUGGUACAGGAUGGGCCCGCGUCUGAUUAGCUGGUUGGCAGGGUAACGGCCUACCAAGGCAAGGAUCAGUAGCCGGUCUGAGAGGAUGAACGGCCACAUUGGAACUGAGACACGGUCCAAACUCCUACGGGAGGCAGCAGUGGGGAAUAUUGCACAAUGGGGGAAACCCUGAUGCAGCAACGCCGCGUGAGUGAAGAAGUAUUUCGGUAUGUAAAGCUCUAUCAGCAGGGAAGAUAAUGACGGUACCUGACUAAGAAGCUCCGGCUAAAUACGUG
rnacentral:rRNA from 1 species